GUUUGCCAUAUCUCACUGUGCGAUGAGAUACAACACUUGUUUAAAAGAGUGUCUGGGCGUGCGACUGUUGUAAGCUGACACGCAAAUAAAUGCCAAAGAACAUAAGAAGACAAUCCUGAUGUGCUUUAAAUACCAUGAGAGCUUCACCACAGUACCACAGUUGCUGCAGUAUCAAGAUGGUAUCACUGGUAAAGGUCCUUUGUGCCGUGGUUUUGGUGUCGUGCCCAAGUCAUGUGUUUGCUAGUGACAUUAAUAUGAAAAACCAUACUGAAGAAGCAGUUCAAAAAGCGUUCACAACUUCACUACAGCUUGAAACCAGCAAUUAUUCCCAUUCAGGACGAAUUUUUAAUGGAAAGAAUGCUAAUAUCGCAUCAUACCGUUACGUAGUGUGUCUGUUGUUUACCAACAGCGGUUCUAGUUUGACAGCUGCGUUGUGGUGAAGUGAGAGAGAGGGACAGGUAGCACAGGCGAAACAAACACGGGCGAAAUAGAGAGAGUAGGAAUGGUUCAUCCCGAAGGAGCUUCGCGUGCAACGGAUGAACCUGCGCAAAUUAAGUGGAAUGACCGCAAUCGGGUUUGCGUGAAGUUUUAAAACGGGCACGAAGACGAAAAUCGACCUCUUUCUACCAUCGCGCCAAGAGAAGAAAGUUCAGUGAAUUUUUAAUACAGUUUAAUGAAAUUAAGUGAAUUAAGAAAACUGAUGUUUCAACUUUAAAUUCGCGAAAGAAAGAGCUUUGUUGCUGGACGCAACAGUGUCUACUUGAGAACAAAUCUUGUGAAUGUGGAGCUAGUGUUAUUACGUACUAUCACGGGUUGACUGCAGCUCACUGUGUGUACCCCAAUCCGAACAUUUCUAAGUUUGCGUUGUACGGAGGCAGUGCGUCGCUGAGCAAAGGUGGGAUCGUGUUUUAUCUCAGUAAAAUCGUAAAUCAUCCUUUAUAUAAUCCAAAGACAAACUAUUACGACGUAGCAAUACUUCAAGUGAAAAAAUCUCUAGAAGGAUACAAAAACAUUGCUCGCAUAUCACUGCAAGACGCUGAAGUUCCUAGCAAUACUUUAUGUUACGUAGCUGGAUGGGGCUAUAAUUUAAAGACUAAUCCAGAUAAUCUACAAUAUGCCACCCAACUAACAGUGUCACAACAACAAUGCUCUGCUGCUUGGCCUGGUUCAAUUAUGUCCGCGAACAUUUGCACUAAGCAAGGCACAGACGGAGAUUUAUGUAACGGCGAUAGUGGAGGCCCAUCUGCAAAGGCAAGCUAACAGGUGUCAUUUCUUUUGGUGGAAUACCCUGUGACAGUAGUCCACCUACCGUUUUUGCUAAAGUUUCAGCUCCUACCAUUCGGUCAUUUAUUAAAACAUAUGCGGGGAUUUAAAAUGUAUUAAAAAAUAAAUGCUGCACAGUGUUAUUUGAU